UCCACUUCUCUCAUCAGACGUAAGCACAUCUCUUCCUGCCAGGGCCGAGCCACACACUACACUGCUAUCGGCAGACCCACACCGCCUUGUAUCGCCUGUAACACACAUACACACACACAUCAUCAUCAUCAGUGUGUGCCUGCUGUGAGCCACAUCUCCACUGAUUUAAUGUCUGCCUACAUUAAAUAUAUUUUUUCUGAUAUAUUUUAUUUUUGUGAUUCUGCUGCUGUUUUGUUGUUUAUUAUUCUGAUGUUCAAUUCCAUAUUAAUGUGAUAUCCAGCACACUCCUAUCUCGACUUCUCAGAACUCACAGCAGCAUAGAAACACAGCAGUUAGGGACUACAAUCCUCAGAACAGCACUCGGCCGACACGUUCAUCAUCUCCUGAGAUUUAAUCACACACACACACACUUGUUUGUCAUGAAACUCGCGCUGUAAUUAAACGGAGCUGAGACACUGGAUCGGUGUGGAGUAAGACUUAUCUGUCCAGCCGCAGAUGCCACAGAAAGCUGCUGGGAUGCGGAUGCUUCCUCCAAGGUCAGAUCCCAGACCCAGAAUAGAUCCUCCUGCAGCGAUCAGAGCACCUUCACCUCCUGAAGAGCCACCAGACUCUCUGUGAGGACAGCAUUGCCACAGUUCAGUUUCUUGUGCACCUCCAGAGCCUGUAAAACACAGGACAAGCUGAGAAUAUAGCACUUUAAAAAUACACGUUUAGCCUUGGAUCCCUUACAAUUUCAUUCAAAUGCGACAAUGGAAUGUUUCUAUUUUAAAAGCAGAAAUGUUUCAAUUUGAUUAAUUACUCCUGGUGAAAUGUAAUAUAUUCACAAAUUAAACAUCUCACUGCACUUUCGUCCCGAUUGUUAAUUUUUGGUGUUCAGCAAAAUUCUGGGUCCCAACAAAAUGGCAAGCUUCAAUUGGAGUCAAUGGGUGUGUGGGUUUAGCACAGAAAAAAAUAUAUGUAUGUUUACAGCAAUUGGCAGAUGUCUUUAUCCAGAGUUUCUCCAUCAAUGAAUAGAUCCUUAUACUGGUUCAUGAGGUCAUAGACUAUAGAUACCAUCGGUCUUAAACUUUGUUUGGAGGAAAUAUAGUAAGUAUAGAGAUAAUGGAGUUUUUAAGUUACUUUUUAAGUGCUAGUUCAAGUACUGUAGGUCUUUAGAUGUCAUACUUCCUGUGACUCAGCUGUUUGGGGGCAGUGGAGGCUCAAGUGGUUAAGGCUCUAGGUUGUUUGUUUGGAGGAUCGGGGUUCAAGCCUUUGCAUCACCAAGCUGCCACUGUUGGGCAAAUGAGCAUAGCUGCCCCUGCACUCUGACCCCAACUUCCUCAGCUGGAAUACACAAAGAAAUUCCACUGUGCUAUAAUGUGUGUGGCGAUAAUAAAGGCUUCUUGCCCCCAGUUCUUCUUCAUCUUAUUGAACAUCUAGGGGAAGUUCAAAGCUAUUUUUGCAGUGUUUUAAAUCUGAUGCAGCAGCUUCAGUAAUCCAGUGGAGGGAGUGUAGCAAUAGCGUGGUGUGGGAGAACUUCCGAAGGUUGAAAACAGGACACGCAGCUGUAUUCUGGAUAAUGUUCAAAAAAUAUCAGUGGAAAAGCAAUAUUUGUUGGACAUCACGUGGCCUGAGCUACUCAUGAUGCAGGGAAGACUUCUCAAAGUGGUGGAUCCUUGUAACUAUCAAUCACUGAC